rnacentral:rRNA from 1 species
UACGGGGGGGGGCAAGCGUUGUUCGGAAUUACUGGGCGUAAAGGGCUCGUAGGCGGCCAACUAAGUCAGACGUGAAAUCCCUCGGCUUAACCGGGGAACUGCGUCUGAUACUGGAUGGCUUGAGUUUGGGAGAGGGAUGCGGAAUUCCAGGUGUAGCGGUGAAAUGCGUAGAUAAUCUGGAGGAACACCGGUGGCGAAGGCGGCAUCCUGGACCAACACUGACGCUGAGUGAGCGAAAGCCAGGGGAGCAAAACGGGGA